UGGGGAAUAUUGCACAAUGGGGGAAACCCGUAGCAUGCAGCAACGCCGCGUGAAGGAAGACGGUUUUCGGAUUGUAAACUUCUUUUCUUAGUGAAGAAACAAAUGACGGUAGCUAAGGAAUAAGCAUCGGCUAACUACGUGCCAGCAGCCGCGGUAAUACGUAGGAUGCGAGCGUUAUCCGGAUUUACUGGGUGUAAAGGGAGCGCAGGCGGGACUGCAAGUUGGAUGUGAAAUACCGCAGCUUAACUGCGGAGCUGCAUCCAAAACUGUAGUUCUUGAGUGGAGUAGAGGCAAGCGGAAUUCCGAGUGUAGCGGUGAAAUGCGUAGAUAUUCGGAGGAACACCAGUGGCGAAGGCGGCUUGCUGGGCUCUAACUGACGCUGAGGCUCGAAAGUGUGGGGAGCAAACAGGAUUAGAUACC
rnacentral:rRNA from 1 species